rnacentral:rRNA from 1 species
UAUACUUGAAGUCGAGCGGACAGAUGGGAGCUUGCUCCCUUAUGUUAGCGGCGGACGGGUGAGUAACACGUGGGUAACCUGCCUGUAAGACUGGGAUAACUCCGGGAAACCGGGGCUAAUACCGGAUGCUUGAUUGAACCGCAUGGUUCAAUUAUAAAAGGUGGCUUUUAGCUACCACUUACAGAUGGACCCGCGGCGCAUUAGCUAGUUGGUGAGGUAACGGCUCACCAAGGCAACAAUGCGUAGCCGACCUGAUAGGGUGAUCGGCCACACUGGGACUGAGACAUUUCCCAGACUCCUACGGGAGGUUGCAGUAGGGAAUCUUCCGCUAUGGAAUAUAGUUGACGGAUCCACCUCUCGUUAUUCUGAAGGUUUGCCGUUCGAAAAGUCUGUG